AUUCGAGUCAAUUCAGAAGAUUGUCACAACGUGUGCUGGUCUGUCUCUGUCUCUGUCUCUGGACAUGGAGCAGAGACCCAGGUCCGACAGUGCAAGGCUGUCCCUCUCUGAAGCAGAGGAUGAGGUCAGCUUCACUCCCGUAAAUCUUAACAGACAGUCCACACAAGUUGAAGGAGUUUCUGAUCAAAUCCCCAUCAGCUUGUUCCAGGACUGAGUUGUUUUUCUUUAUCCUUUUUCCUUUUAUUUAACCCAGUUUGUAGCGGGUUACUUAGUUCCGGCCUUUAUUUGUUUGUGUACACAAAGCCCUGGCUAUUAUAUGAGACCUGGCUAUUAAUUAAAUGUCCCGUGUGCAUGACCAGAGUCUUCACCUACAUCCACAAACGGGAAAGGCAUGAGUUCAGAGAGAAGUCUGAGGAAAGGGGCUGGGGCUUUUGACUUGUUUAUUUUCAAAAUGUAGCCUGCUAGUACCGUUUUUCCAGGAUCGCCAACCCUACCUUUAAAAGAAGCUUGAUGUGGUUCGACAGUAUCUCUAUAGAAUCCAGUAUGCACUGCACAAAGUGUGGCCUAUCAGUGUUUAUUUACCCUAUGACCAUUCUGUCUUCACUUACAACAGGAUGCCUUAGGAGAGCUGCCAAACACACCGUGUAUCAUCAUAAUGGAUGAACGACAGUACAAGCUGGCAGUGGAUCAAGUUACUUUUAACAAGCACAUUAGCUGUCGUCUGGUGGAGUUCAGCUGUAUGUUCAGCCUCUUUUAUGUACUUAACAUAAAAUAUCUGAAGGAAGCAGCCCUGACACUAGAGUUCAUCCAGAGGUAUGUUUUGGCAAUGCCCAUUUUAUCGUGUACUGUACUGUACUGUACUUAAUGUUGCAAUACCAAGUGACAUGAUACAUUUUGUGUUUGCCACAGGAGCCUGCUGGGUAUCAACCCCGAAAGAGGGUCGAAGGCUGAAAAAAAAGGUGCAAAACAGUACAAUGUCCCCCCAAAACUGCUGCGAUUCCUAUCGGAUCUGAAUGACUUUAAGAAUCCUUGAAAGAUAUAAAGGUCAUUACACACUCUCCUUUGUUACUAACACACUCUCUCUCUCUUGUCUGUCUCACUCAAGUCUUUGGUCACAAGUCCAAAUCAAGUUUCAAGUCCCUUGAAAUUAAAGCCUCGUUGUGAUGAGCCUUCCAUCAUCUGCUGCGAUCUGGUCUGCUAAGAAUACUGCACAGUUAUAUCUAAGAAAUUCAAAGCAUUUACUGUAUACUGUAAAUACUGUAUGCGAAAUAGAUAAAGGAGUGAUAAUAGGCUAAUACUAUUAUUAUCACUCCUUUGUCUAAAGCAUACAGUAUUGAUUAGUUGUUUACGAUAUGAUCCCUUUAAACAGGCUAUUGCAAUGCCAUAUGAAGAAAACACACAAUGCAAGCAUUCCUGUAAACGGGAAUUACCGUUUUUUACAAUCUGGACCUUAUUUCUAGCAUAAAAUACGAUCAUUUACCCACCCAGAUAACUUUGGUGUCAUUACAAGUCGUUCCGACGAAAUUAGAUCCAGCCGAGAGCUGCGUAUAUCCGUAUAAUGGAGUCUACAGGGCAGCAGAAUGCAGCCUCUAAAUAACACAUUAUCUGCAGAGAAACUCGUUCAUUUCACCAAUAUUUUGUUAUGAUACGCUAGUGCUAUUCCCCUCUGAGUCCAGGGUUAGCUGUUAUCAACAUCCAGGGUCUGUAGGUUGACCUAUUAACCUCUGACCUGUAGGGGUGUCACGAUUCUCCAAAUCCUCGAUUCGAUUACAUUUUGAUUCUAAGGUCACGGUUCGAUUCGAUUCUCGAUUUUUACAUUUAUUUUUUUUAAAGCACAGGUUGCUAUGCCAUUUUUAGACUAGACUGUUAUGCAAUAUAAUAUCUGACCAUUGUUCGCAUUGUACCACACUAUAUUGUCAAAUUUAAAACAUUUAUUAACAACAUAAUGUAACAAUAACUUAUAUCUUCAGUCAAUUGGAAACUUAAACAAAAUAACCUGCCAUCUAGUUUCUGCAGAGCUUACAAACUGUGGCUUUUUUGGCGACAACGCAAACGUUUUCAAUAUAACUCACUGGAAAUCCAAAAUACUUCCACACCUGAGACUUCAGUGAAAAAGGAGGGGGUUCAAGUUCUAUCGAUGGGUCUCCUGCGUCUGCAGUUGCCAUUGUUGUAAGAGUGGCAUAGCCCCUUUCAGGAACAGGGCGGUGCGUGAGGUGUGUGUGCGUAAGGUGCGUAAGGUGUGAGUGGGCGAGCGAGAGUGAGAGAGCGUGCGUGCCUGACUGAAUGGGAGAGGAAGGAGAAGCGAAAGGAGUAACAGUAGUAGCGACAGCAAUAAAGUGUACAAUAUAGGCUGCAGUUUGGCUGUGAAUAAAGGCGACGCCUCCUCCAGAUACAGCAAAGCUCCCUGGUAUUAUUUCCCGACCAGCUUAACACGUGAAAGGGGUUCACCCCUAAGAUAAACACAAACUUCGACUCUGGAGGAAAUCAUCUCCCUGUGCUUCCCGACCACGGUCUGGCAGCCGAACAGGAAUGGUGUAACACCAUGCUGUCGUUUGACUGGCUGUAGCUAAUAGCUACUGGCUUAGCUAGUAGUUAGAGGAGGUUGACUCGCAGCACUUCAACAUGAGUGUUUUUUUUUCCGCUCGGCAAGCCGACCGGACGUGACGCGGGGGUGUGGCAGCAUCGACAAUCCCAUUUUUUAAUUAGAAGUUCGAUAUUGUGAAUUAAUUUUGGUCGAUUUCGAUUUAUUCGAAAUCGUGGCACCCUUACUGACCUGGAUGAUGUCAUCUCUGAGCGCUGCACAGUUCAUUCUGAUAAUAAUGAUUCCACUUCGGCAUUCGGGUCCAUUUUUAGCGCAACUAGCCAGAGCUUUUGCAAGAGGAGCUCUGCUGUUCCUCUCUCUUUAGCCUGGUGUUUGGCUGCACUUUGUAUAAAUGAUACAGCAUAUCAAGAUCUAACCUCGAGUUUACGACUCAAGUUCGAGUCACAAACUCAAGUCCCCAUCUCUGCAUGCACACACACACACAAAGUGUCUGGAAGAGUCUGCCUCACAAGUAGUAGGGCUGCUUGAUUAUAGUAAACAUUAUUUUCUUCUCUUCUCCUCCAGUUGGGUCCUGUGCUCCCAAGUAUUUCCAGGUCUACCGAGCACACACAUGAUGGGAACAUCAACUGUGACGGUUUCAGGUCGGUUUCAGAUAGAAGACUGUUGUUGUUAAAGACUCACUAUCGCUUGUCGAGACCUAAUGUCAUCCAGCAAGUGCAGGAGUGCUUGCAGUUGACGGCAUCUUUGCAGUUUACAUUUUGUGUUUUUAUGUACACUCUUCAUGAUUUUGCUCAUUUGAUGUUUAAUGCAAUUUAAAUAACACAAUUGUUUGUAGUAUACCUUCAUAUAUUUUGUAUGACAGAGAAUCAGGGCCAAUCAGGUUGUUCUGCAUUGAGCAAAGCCCAAUGCAGAACACAAUGGCAGCUUAACCACACCACAGAAAACUUCAGUAUUAGAAAUAGUUCAACUUAGUUGAACCUGUACAGAUAAAUUUAGGCCGUGAUGACACCGGCAAGCAACAACACUUUCAUUACGUUCCCAUCCCAAGUGCUACGUCCUAUACCUGCCAAUGAGAAAAUGCUACAUGAUAUUGGAGAUGGGCAUGUCAUCAAAUCAGUUAUUUUAUUUUUUUCCCUUAGUGUGGCCAUAAUACCGUUGUCUUAGUUUUGUGCUACAGUUGAAAGAAAGCAGUAAUUUUAAUGGGAUCUGUAGUGUUCUCUUGACAGAUGUACUGUUUAAUAGUUAUUUAUCAGUGGGUACUUGUACCAUAGAUGUAGCAUCUGGUAGGAUGCAGACCUGUGUUUUUAUGUGUUCGUAUAGGCUGGCUUUUCAACCUCACUAAUUUUCUACUCAGUAAUGAUGAUUUAAGCCUCUGCUCAUUUGUAAAUGUUACAGUUUUACUGGUACAUGUUUUCAAAUUAUCUUCAGUGUUAGUGUAGUACUGUUUUAAAAUAUUCAAUCUAUUGUAACUCUUUUACUCUUCAAUUGACCUGUAAGUUUGUGGGCAGGCUUUUUUAUGUGCACUGCUUCUGGAUGAUUUGGAUGAUGAUUUAUCUAAAAAAUAAACCAUUAAAUAACUGAUGGCUUCCAGUGUUUUUUUGUUGUUGUUUUUUAUAGGGUAAAGACCAUUUUAUACUGGAUAAUGUCCUGUUUUUUUCACAGUAAAUAUUCAGUAAAUUACUGAAAUUAGAUUUACAGAAAAUGUUUUAUUUCACUAUAGAUACACCAUUUAAUAACAGAAAAUGACCUGUUUUUCCACUAUAAAAACACCAUUAAAUGACCACAAAUAUCUUGCUAUUUCACAAGAGAUAAACCAUUAAAUAACUGAAAAUGUCCUAUUAUUUUGCCUGUAGUUUAUUGUUAAUUGACAGUAAAAU
ensembl:lncRNA